AUUGAACGCUGGCGGCAGGCCUAACACAUGCAAGUCGAGCGGCAGCGGGAAAGUAGCUUGCUACUUUUGCCGGCGAGCGGCGGACGGGUGAGUAAUGCCUGGGAAAUUGCCCAGUCGAGGGGGAUAACAGUUGGAAACGACUGCUAAUACCGCAUACGCCCUACGGGGGAAAGCAGGGGACCUUCGGGCCUUGCGCGAGUGGAUAUGCCCAGGUGGGAUUAGCUAGUUGGGGAGGUAAUGGCUCACCAAGGCGACGAUCCCUAGCUGGUCUGGGAGGAGGAUCAGCCACACUGGAACUGAGACACGGUCCAGACUCCUACGGGAGGCAGCAGUGGGGAAUAUUUCCCAAUGGGGGAAACCCUGAUGCAGCCAUGCCGCGUUUGUGAAGAAGGCCUUCGGGUUGUAAAGCACUUUCAGCGAGGAGGAAAGGUCAGUAGCUAAUAUCUGCUGACUGUGACGUUACUCGCAGAAGAAGCACCGGCUAACUCCGUGCCAGCCGCCGCAGUAAAAC
rnacentral:rRNA from 1 species